CCUACGGGAGGCAGCAGUGAGGAAUAUUGGUCAAUGGACGAGAGUCUGAACCAGCCAAGUAGCGUGAAGGAUGACUGCCCUAUGGGUUGUAAACUUCUUUUAUACAGGAAUAAAACGAGGCACGUGUGCCUUUUUGCAUGUACUUUAUGAAUAAGGAUCGGCUAACUCCGUUCCAGCAGCCGCGGUAAUACGGAGGAUCCGAGCGUUAUCCGGAUUUAUUGGGUUUAAAGGGAGCGUAGAUGGGUUGUUAAGUCAGUUGUGAAAGUUUGCGGCUCAACCGUAAAAUUGCAAUUGAUACUGGCAGUCGUGAGUACAGUUGAGGUAGGCGGAAUUCGGGGUGUAGCGGUGAAAUGCUUAGAUAUCACGAAGAACCCCGAUUGCGAAGGCAGCUUACUAAACUGUGACUGACAUUGAUGCUCGAAAGUGUGGGUAUCAAACAGGAUUAGAUACCCGAGUAGUC
rnacentral:rRNA from 1 species